ensembl:lncRNA
GAGGCUCUUUCAGGGACUCUUGACUGUCAAUACUGUGGGAAACAGCGUCCUUGGACAAGCUGCCAUGUGACCACACCUGGACACCUGCCACACUGUCUCCAGGGACCACGUCAGAGCUCUGGGGCCCUUUCGCACCCGUUGCUUCCUUUGGAUCAGGAAGGGCAUCUCUCUCAUGUGGACCCGGCCUCGUUGGGGCCUCCCUGUGGGUGUCGGGCUGAUCCCCACCACGGCUCGAGCAGGUGGCCUGGGAACACAUUGAGCCUAGCCCAAGAGCCCCAUGAUGAGGCAGAGUCCUCUCGACACCCAGCUCGAGGCUCAAACUCACACCCCCGAGAUGGAGAACCACUCACUCCGUCAACCAAGCCAGCUGGUCGCCUGUCCUCUCUGUCUUCUCGCAUCACAGUGUCUCGACACCUCGACGAUCUCUCAGCCCGUCCUGACAGGUCAUCGACCUGUGGUCCUCCCCAGAAGGCGGCCAGAGCCCUCACAGUCAAGGGCUCUCUUGAGGGACGCACUCAGCUCUUCAGACCCGGGAGGUGCGGAGUUCCUGCCUCGUGGCAUGAGAGGCCACCGUGUGGCAAGCCAUCGGGGCUCCAGAAGGGCCCCUGCCUAUGCAGCUGGCCCCUUCCAGAACUGGUCACGACAGGCAGAAACUCUGUCAGUGAAGUUGGGGAGCUCGUGGUCUGUGAUGCAGCCCUCCACGUGGCCUCAGCCUCGGUUGCUGACAGAUCAAUGCAAUUCGUGAAGUCCCUCGUAGCCCACCCCACAGCACCGGUCCCUUCUCCUUGUGAAAUGUGUGCCUUCAGCUGGUGUAAGCCCUGGCCCGGCUCUGUUCUGGAGACAGUUAUGUUCGUCUUCUUUUGCUGUACCACCAACUGCCACAAAUUGAGCAGCUCAAUGCAACACAUUCACUAUUACACGGCUUCCCUGGGUCAGACACGCGGAUCUGAGUUUUCUGGGCCCUCUGCUCAGGGCCUCCCAGGUGAAGUCGGUGUCUGCCAGGGCUGCUCCGGACCUGAGGCACAGGCCCUCUCUGGAGGGUGGGCGGGAUCCAGUUCCUUGUUGUAGGACUGAGGUCCAUUUUCUGCUUGGCUGUUGGCUGGGGGCCGCCCCAUGGCCCCCUCCAAGGGCCCUUUCUCAGGGUGGCCGGCUGGAGACAUUGACGGCAGGCAGCACGAUGGAGACUGUCACAGUGACAUCCCAGGACUUUGUCCUGUGGGUGCGGAAGACUCUUCUGGCAUUGUUUCAGCUCCUGCCCACACCAAAGGGGAGGACACAGGGUGCCCAGACAGCUCUGUACGCCACUGGGCCCUGGAGGGCUGUUUUCCUUGUGUGUUCAUAUAAACCCUACCACUCUAAGCCACCUUCCAUUCCUGCAACCCCAGCCCACACCCUCCAAGCCCCUAUCUUGCUCACUCAGCAUGAGAGCCAGACUGCGGCCCCCACGGACCUCCCUAUGCACCCACCUCUGCUCCCUCAUCUGGGAGGCAGCUUCCCCAGGCACCAGCCUGGACAUUUACCUGUGGCUGUCAUUCCUUCGGAGGCUGUUCCUAUCAGUCCUGUGGAGGGAGACCCUGCCCUGUUUUCGUCUCUUGACAACAUUUCUCCCAGAGAUUAAAACAAUCUUAUCUGUCCGUAAGCUGGCCUGCCGUCCGCCUCCCUCUGUCAGCUUCCAGGUCCCUGGCACACAGUAGGUGCUCAGCAAAUAUUUGUUGAGUGACAGAACAGUGGGCGUGAGCACGUGUCUCUGUGUCUGAUUGUGUCUGGUGGCGUCUCUGAGCGCCUGUGGUUUCUCCUCCCAGUGAGCCUGGCUGCCUGGAAUGUCCGAGUCCCCAGGAGUAGGAGCCAGAACCUGAUUCUUAGUGGGGCUGGUUGGCUUACCCCUGCCUUGUGCAGCCACGCCUCCUAGAAGAGGGGAG